rnacentral:rRNA from 1 species
GACGAACGCUGGCGGCGUGCUUAACACAUGCAAGUCGAACGAUGAACCACUUCGGUGGGGAUUAGUGGCGAACGGGUGAGUAACACGUGGGCAAUCUGCCCUUCACUCUGGGACAAGCCCUGGAAAACGGGGUCUAAUACCGGAUAACACUGCCACGGGCAUCUGUGGUGGUUAAAAAGCUCCGGCGGUGAAGGAUGAGCCCGCGGCCUAUCAGCUUGUUGGUGAGGUAAUGGCNCACCAAGGCGACGACGGGUAGCCGGCCUGAGAGGGCGACCGGCCACACUGGGACUGAGACACGGCCCAGACUCCUACGGGAGGCAGCAGUGGGGAAUAUUGCACAAUGGGCGAAAGACCUGAUGCAGCGACGCCGCGUGAGGGAUGACGGCCU